AGAGUUUGAUCCUGGCUCAGAACGAACGCUGGCGGCGUGGAUAAGACAUGCAAGUCGAACGGGAGAAUUGCUAGCUUGCUAAUAAUUCUCUAGUGGCGCACGGGUGAGUAACACGUGAGUAACCUGCCUCUUAGUGGGGGAUAGCCCUGGGAAACCGGGAUUAAUACCGCAUACGAUUGAAAGAUCAAAGCAGCAAUGCGCUAGGAGAUGGGCUCGCGGCCUAUUAGUUAGUUGGUGAGGUAACGGCUCACCAAGGCGAUGACGGGUAGCCGGUCUGAGAGGAUGUCCGGCCACACUGGAACUGAGACACGGUCCAGACACCUACGGGUGGCAGCAGUCGAGAAUCAUUCACAAUGGGGGCAACCCUGAUGGUGCGACGCCGCGUGGGGGAAUGAAGGUCUUCGGAUUGUAAACCCCUGUCAUGUGGGAGCAAAUUAAAAAGAUAGUACCACAAGAGGAAGAGACGGCUAACUCUGUGCCAGCAGCCGCGGU
rnacentral:rRNA from 1 species